rnacentral:rRNA from 1 species
AACGAACGCUGGCGGCAUGCCUAACACAUGCAAGUCGAACGAGAUCCUUCUGGGUCUUGUGUCUCACGGGUGCGUAACGCGUGGGAAUCUGCCCUUAGAUUCGGAUUUACAUUUACAUAUGACUUCUCGUACCGAAUGAUGACGUUAUGUCCAAAACUUGCUACCCUGAGGAUGAGCCGGUGUUGGAUUCUCUAGUUGGUGUGUUAAAGGCGCACCAAUGGGCGGAUCGUUAGCUGGUCUGAGAGGAUGAGCAGCGACACUGAGACUGAGAAACAGCCGAGACUCCUACGGGAGGGAGCAGUGGGGAAUAGUGGAAAAUCGGCGCAAGGCUGAUCGAGCAAGGCCGGGUGAGUGAUGAAGGCGGGAGGGAGGUAAAGCACGUUUACACGAGAUGAUAAUGACAGUAUCGGGAGAAUAAGCCCCGGCUAACUCCGUG